rnacentral:tRNA from 1 species
UCUUUGUUGUUCAGCUGGUAGAGCUCUCCACUGGAAAUGGAGAGGUCCCUGGUUCGACACCAGGACCAGGCG